GACGAGGUGCACAACCGUUAUUCGGAAUUACUGGGCUUAAAGCGUGCGUAGGCGGCCUAGCAAGUCGGGUGUGAAAGCCCUCGGCUCAACCGAGGAAUUGCGCCCGAAACUGCUGGGCUUGAGUGAGACAGAGGUGAGCGGAACUGAUGGUGGAGCGGUGAAAUGCGUUGAUAUCAUCAGGAACACCGGUGGCGAAGGCGGCUUUCUGGACAAAUACCGACGCUGAGGCACGAAAGCUAGGGGAGCAAACAGG
rnacentral:rRNA from 1 species